rnacentral:rRNA from 1 species
AACGAACGCUGGCGGCAUGCCUAACACAUGCAAGUCGAACGAGACCUUCGGGUCUAGUGGCGCACGGGUGCGUAACGCGUGGGAACCUGCCCUUAGGUUCGGAAUACUCCCCCGAAGGGGGUGCUAAAACGGGAUAAGUUCUUCGGACAAAAGUUUUAUGGCCUUUGGUUGGGCCGGGGUUGGAUUAGUUAGUUGUUAGGGUAAAGGCCUACCAAGGCGCCGAUCAAUAGCUGGUCUGAGAGGAUGAUCAGCCACACUGGGACUGAGACACGGCCCAGACUCCUACGGGAGGCAGCAGUGGGGAAUAUUGGACAAUGGGCGAAAGCCUGAUCCAGCAAUGCCGCGUGAGUGAUGAAGGCCUUAGGGUUGUAAAGCUCUUUUACCCGGGAUGAUAAUGACAGUACCGGGAGAAUAAGCUCCGGCUAACUCCGUG